CACUCAACAUGAACCUCUGCAAUGAAAUUAUUCUGCUGAUUGUGCGCUCAGCGCUCUUUCGAAGAGAAACGAAGGGCCAUACAAUGUACGUCAGAGACACACGUGACGUUAAAAUCACGCCUACUGUUGUCUAGUUUAAGGAAGCAGAAACCUGGCAAAAUUUUGCGCGUGUUCGCUAAUGUUAUUUUUGCGGAUAGGUGUGGCGUCCUCUUGAUUAUGUUACAUAAAAAGGAAUAUAUUAUUAUGCAAUUAUGUGCCUGUAUAGACAAAACAAAAAGCAAGAGAGGCUUAUAGGGUUGAACAUGUACUCGUAAAAGCACCUUCAUUCACCAGUGAGAAACAUGGUAGCUGAAAUAGGUACUGUAAACAAACCUUUACAAAGAGCCUACAUAUCUGGUACAGGACCACCUGAGCUAGGUGGGUUGGACUGCAGUGAGAAAGCCAGUCCUUGCUGAAUCGAGACAAAUGCAUGAAGUGAAACAAACAUGCCGUGUAUUUGAAUAGAUUUGUGUAAAUAUGAGUUGCUGAUCUGAGCAACUGAUCUAAAGAAGAACAGACGUUUUGUGUAAAUGUUCUGGAAAUUUAGACCAACAACCAAAAAUAGAAAAACUCAUGUCUGUUACUGUCAGAAACACAAAAUGAUUUAGUUUAUUAUUUAAUUAUUUAUGAAUUUAAUGUGCCCGUCAGUAUUUAUAUGGUGUUCCUGCUUGUAAGCUAAAAAAUAUAUAAUUGGUGUAAGACCUAAUUGCUGAAUACAGAUAGAUGAUAUGAAACAGUGUUCCAGUACAUGCGCAUAAACUAUUAACAUACGGUUAUGUGAGCUGUUUGUGUAUCUGCGUAGGUAAUUAUAUGGUAACAAUUGGAUGAACAGGUUUGACAUGUAUAAUUAAGGUUUCUGCAUUCAGCAGAUUUUAAAACCCAUACACAUUUGUGAUUAAAAAUUAACAAGUGAAAACCAAUUAAUAAUAUUUUAAUAUUAAAAUAUUUUAAAGAAAAGCUUUAUUCUUGUUUAACAUAUGGGUAAGAGUCUGCCAAAUGAGCAUGCCAUGAUUUUAUUCUUUAAUUUCUUGCAAAUUACUCCAGUUCUUCCAAAUUGCUGGUUGUGGUGGUGGGAGGGUUGUUGUCCUCUGCAAAUCCCCCUCUUCAAGUCUUUGAACAGGUUUUUGUUAGAUCUGAUCCCCAGUCCCAGCUGACAAGAAGCAGCACCAUAGCAUGAUGAUGGCACAAAAUGCUUCACUGGAUGUCUUGUUUUUCACCACAAAUAUAGUUAUGGACAAGAAGUUCUUUGCCACGUUUUAUCUGUGAAGACAUCCCACUUUCCUGACAGAAAGUUUCUGCCAUAUACACACGCAGCGGGACUUUCGGGCAUGGUCUAAGAUUGGCGUGUCUGACCACCUUUGCUGCUCUUGGCCACACUGCACACAGGAAGCAAGCUGCACACAGGAAGCAAGCUGCACACAGGA